ACUACAGUACAGUAGGCGGCGGUAUACUGUAGUGUGCAGUUCGUGUCCGCAUCGUCAUACGCGCCAGUAUUGCUGGAAGACUGCAGGAACAGAACCCCCUGGAAAGAUGAGUUCCUUAUUAAAGAAAGGCUUGAUGCUGUUUACUCCACACUCUUAGGCUGACUUUGUAUUAUUUGUCUGUGAAGACAGUUCACAGUUUCUGAAUCCCAUCAAGAAUGAAGACCUGGAGGCCACCAUAUUGAGAUGGUCCGAUGUCAUGAUAUGGCGCUUUUCCAAUGUAGGGUACAACUUGGCUCGGCACGAUGCAGCUCAGCUCGCUUUCGUUGCUUUUCCAGUACAGUUUAGUGUCGCUUCAGAGUGGGUGAGAUUAUAGGCAGGGGUGCACAUAACUGGUGCGUAUGCUCAAAUAGAAACAAUUCUAGUGUACCAACGUUGCUGGAAUUUUGUUACAUAGUUAGCUAAUUUACUUUGACAUAAGAGAUU